UGGUGGUCACAGCUCUCCUAGUUCAGUCUGGUCGUGGUUAUCUAUAGAAUGGUGGUCACAGCUCUCCUAGUUCAGUCUGGUCAUGGUUAUCUAUAGAAUGGUGGUCACAGCUCUCCUAGUUCAGUCUGGUCAUGGUUAUCUAUAGAAUGGUGGUCACAGCUCUCCUAGUUCAGUCUGGUCGUGGUUAUCUAUAGAAUGGUGGUCACAGCUCUCCUAGUUCAGUCUGGUCAUGGUUAUCUAUAGAAUGGUGGUCACAGCUCUCCUAGUUCAGUCUGGUCAUCUAUAGAAUGGCUCAGCUGUGACACAUCCUGUAGCACAGUAGCUGCCUGGUUGACCAUAAGUGCAUCCCAAAACUUCACUGUGUAGUAAAGGGCUUUGUCCCAAAUGGCACCCUAUUCUCUAUGUAGUGCACUACAUUUGAGCAGGGCCCAUAGGGAAUAGGGUGCCAUUUGACCAGGGCCCGUAGGGAAUAGGGUGCCAUUUGACCAGGGCCCAUAGGGAAUAGGGUGCCAUUUGACCAGGGCCCAUAGGGAAUAGGGUGCCAUUUGACCAGAGCCCAUAGGGAAUAGGGUGCCAUUUGACCAGGGCCUAUAGGGAAUAGGGUGCCAUUUGACCAGGGCCCAUAGGGAAUAGGGUGCCAUUUUGGACACAACCAUAUCCACCCUCUAGGGCACAUGCCUAAUCUAUGACCUUUAACCCUGACCCCUCUCAACCCUGACCCCUCUAAACACACACACUCCCGGCUUAUCACCCCAAAACUCAAAUAUCCAAACGACUGUUGACAAUCAACGUGCACUGGGAAGUAAUGUUGUUUUUAUAUGCACCCACUCUUCAGACUCCUGUACUGAACCUCUCUAGAUCCAUUUGUCUUUAAGAUCUGUUGUAUGCUGACUCAGCCUAGCUCAACAAGACUAGCUUUCUUGUGUCCCAAAUGGCACCUACUCAACAUUAUAGUGCACUACUAUUAACCGGGUCCCAUAGGGGGUCCCAAAUGGCUCCCAUAGGGCUCUGGUCAAAAGUAGUGUACUAUAUAGAAAAUAGGGUGCCGUUUGUGACACGACCUAGUAGCGAUGUAGGAUGAGGGUACAAGGAGGAGUGAGCCACCACGGCGUCCAGAAUUAUUUGUAAGUAGGAGGGGUUGUGUGGUCAUCCUAUGGGUUGGUGUUGACGUCAAAUCCAUAAGAACCAACCAUUGUCUCAACCCUCCUUCGAGGUUAAAACUUAUAUGAUAUGUUCAACCUUCAAUAUCUUGAAUAUUAAGUUUUUUAAAAAAUUCAUUCGGUUUUUUGAAUUUCCCAAGAAAGAGUGAAUCUUAACUGUUAAGUGCUGUGAUUAUUUGUGUUUUAUAUCAACAAACAAAACAAUUCGCUGCAGCUAAUUCUUAACUUGUUAACUUUCUAAGCGAAAAAAAAACUUUUGUAUACUUUUGUAAAAAAACAAAACAAAUGUAACAAUGAAGUCCGAAAACAUGAUUUUUAUUUUUAUUUUUUAAAGAUCGCUUUUUAAAUGUUGUGACAUGCUUUUUGGUUUUUACCAAUUUAAGUCCGCUGUGUCGUUCUCAGUUCAAGGGCUGUUUUUGAUAUUUGAUAAUUCUGUAUAUGGAGUAAAAAUGCAUGUCCCAGCAUUCCUGAAAUCUGUGUUUGAAUGUAAAUGAAUUGAGAGGAAAAAACACAAUGUCUCUUUUUUUAAAUACUAUAUAAACUGAAACAUUGUGAACUUCCAUCUAACUCCUGCUCUGUUGAAUUGGGACUCUCUUUAGCAUUGCCUUCACAUCACAUCAUUCUAGAACACAUCAUUAGAGCUCUCAGAACCAUCUUCAGAUAUCACAUCACAUCAUUCUAGAACACAUCAUUAGAGCUCUCAGAACCAUCUUCAGAUAUCACAUCAUUCUAGAACACGUCAUUAGAGCUCUCAGAACUGUCUCAAGGAUUCCACAUCGGUCGGGGCGGUGUGUUUUUUGAAGGAAGGCUCAGUCUAAAUGUAGCAGACCUGUCUGUCCAAAAUGGCACCCUAUACCCUAUGUAGUGCACUACUUUUGACCAGUGCUCUAUGUUCCCUGGUCAAAAGUAGUAUAUAAGAUAUCGAGCCAUUUGGGAUGCAGGCGGCAUUAUGAGACGCUUCUGAGAGCCCUGCACAGUUUUCGAACAGCGUGAAACACAAGGGGAAAGAGAGGGGGAACGAGGGACAUAUUUGUUUGUCUAGUGCAAUAUGCUGUACAUAAAGAGCUUGGCUCUACAAAAUCCACAAAUCUUACAUUUUUCUCUAAUGAAAUGUAAUUUUCUUGUUCAAUGGGUACAUUGCUGUCUUUUUCAUUAAAAUGUUCUGAAAGUUUCAAAA
rnacentral:lncRNA from 1 species